GGCGCUGUAGUGUAGCGGUUUAUCACGUGGGAUUUUGACUUUGUUGAUUUCCCAAGCCCCAGGUUCGAUCCCUGGCAGUGCCU